CGCCCGCGGCCGCUUUUUCACACAAACGCUAAAUUCUUCUGAGUGGCGAUAUUGACUGGGUUAUCUGCUUCCUGUGAAAGUUCACUCCUCGAACAAAAUAAUCGUUUGCGGCUAAAAUUGGAGACAAAAGCGAGAUGCGAUCAUCUCACGUUUUCGUGGUUGGAUUUUUCCUGCUGCUGGUCAUACUCAGCUGUGAUGUGAAUACAGUGGAAGGCAGACGCUGUACCAGAAUAUGUGAAAAGGGAAGAUGCAGGCCUAUUUGCACCCGUGAUGCUGAAUUUGUGGAUGACAAUCCAGUUGAUGAGACCGAAGUUGAGAGAAGUCCCGAUAAACCGUGAUGAGAACGUUGCCAGCAGUCCUAUUUAAUGAUGUUUCAGCAUCUGUUUUAAAAAUGGAUUCCUCAUGUAUCCAGAGAGAAAACGCACUUCACAAUAUGCCUCUUUAUUUAUUCACUGUAUUGUUGCUUAGCGUCUAAUUGAUUUUUAUCCUGUAUACUCUGCUGGAGGCGGCGUCUCUUCACGUCUAAAGCCUGAUUAUUUGAAAUGAAACAACUAAUCUUUUAUGCAUAUAGAAAUAAUUUUGCUUCUGUUUUUGUGCGUAACAUCUGCGUAGGAUAGUUUAGUGAAGAAAAGAAUAGAUUUUUCUGUUUGGAUAGUCAUUUGACAUUAAAGCUUUAUAAUUCUAAAACAUGUUAGGUUUCUCUCUGUACUUUCAAUUGCUUAGAAUGUUUUUGGUAGAUAAAAUUAUAUCUCGUGGUUCUUGUAGUGAAAUAAAAUAUAUGUGAAAAACAAAA